UGAACAUUUUUUAAAAAAUUAACUAAUACUAACACAGCAUUCAGUGAACAACUACUUACAAUCUUACUAAUCCAAAAGCAACAUUCUUCAGAGAGUUUUUUAAUAUAUACAAAUUGGGCACAUUUUAAUUAUGAUUAUUU